AAGACCUUGCGCUUUUGGAGCGGCCGAUGCCUGAUUAGCUUGUUGGUAAGGUAAAGGCUUACCAAGGCUUCGAUCAGUAGCUGGUCUGAGAGGACGGCCAGCCACACUGGGACUGAGACACGGCCCAGACUCUUACGGGAGGCAGCAGUGGGGAAUUUUGGACAAUGGGGGAAACCCUGAUCCAGCCAUGCCGCGUGAGUGAAGAAGGCCUUCGGGUUGUAAAGCUCUUUCAGCCGGAACGAAACGGUUACGGAUAAUACCCGUGACUACUGACGGUACCGGAAGAAGAAGCACCGGCUAACUACGUGCCAGCAGCCGCGGUAAUACGUAGGGUGCGAGCGUUAAUCGGAAUUACUGGGCGUAAAGCGUGCGCAGGUGGUUUUGUAAGUCAGAUGUGAAAGCCCCGGGCUCAACCUGGGAACU
rnacentral:rRNA from 1 species